GUCUCUACGAAAAAUAAUAUACAGUCUAGCCUGCCCAGUGAAUAACUUAAAUGGCCGCGGUAUCCUGACCGUGCAAAGGUAGCAUAAUAAUUAGUUUUUUAAUUGAAAGCUUGCAUGAAUGGCUGGACAAAGAAAAAUCUGUUUCUACUUUUUUUUUUAAAUUUUACUUUUAGGUGAAAAGGCCUAAAUAAAUUUAAUAGACGAUAAGACCCUAUAAAUCUUUAUAUGAUCUUUUCUUAUGAGUAAUUAUUUGAGUUUAUUUUUUAUAAAAAAAAGAUAUAUUUUGUUGGGGCGACAAGAAUACUAAAACUGUUCUAAUUUUCAAACAAAAAUUUUUGUCUAUAGUAGAUCCUUCACUGAAGAUUAAAAAUUUAAGUUACUUUAGGGAUAACAGCGUAAUUUUUUUUGAGAGUUCAUAUCGACAAAAAAGUUUGCGACCUCGAUGUUGAAUUAAAGUUUCUUUAUAAUGCAGCAGUUAUAAAAGUAAGUCUGUUCGACUUUUAAAACUUU
rnacentral:rRNA from 1 species